UAAUUUUUGGGGGUUUUGUAUGUGUGCUCGGAUGCUGCGUGUGACUGUCUGAUUUCAGUCUAUUUUGCUUUCAGGAAACUCUGGUGUUCGAAUUUUGGGCCAUAAAUCCACCAAAAGAGAUAAUCAUUUUCCAGAGCUGACCGUAAGAGAAACAUUGGAUUUUACAACUAGAUGUCAAGAUGCAAGCUAAGCCUAUGCAGCAUACAUGAAUGAUUUGGUACUGUUAGAGAGGGAAAGGAACAUAAGGCCGGAUCCAAAAAUUGAUGCGUUUAUGAAGAGUUUGCAAUUGGGGUGUGUAUACGCGUGUUCUUUAUGCUAUCCUGAAACAUGUGAUCAUGUUUACCAUUUUGAUAAUGACUAUUAUGAUGCAAAAGAUAUCUACGGGAAAUCCAUGCGUUGCAGAUUCCCAUAUGAUCAGAGAGGUCGACUUAUCUUGGAGGUAAUGCUAAUCAAAAUAUGCCACUAACCACCAGUCUUAUCUCUCUAAUUCCAGCCUGCU